rnacentral:rRNA from 1 species
GACGAACGCUGGCGGCGUGCUUAACACAUGCAAGUCGAACGGAAAGGCCCUGCUUUUGUGGGGUGCUCGAGUGGCGAACGGGUGAGUAACACGUGAGUAACCUGCCCUUGACUUUGGGGGAUAACUUCAGGAAACUGGGGCUAAUACCGGAUAGGAGCUCCUGCUGCAUGGUGGGGGUUGGAAAGUUUCGGCGGUUGGGGAUGGACUCGCGGCUUAUCAGCUUGUUGGUGGGGUAGUGGCUUACCAAGGCUUUGACGGGUAGCCGGCCUGAGAGGGUGACCGGCCACAUUGGGACUGAGAUACGGCCCAGACUCCUACGGGAGGCAGCAGUGGGGGAAUAUCGCACAAUGGGCGGAAGCCUGAUGCAGCAACGCCGCGUGCGGGAUGACGGCCUUCGGGUUGUAAACCGCUUUCGCCUGUGACGAAGCGUGAGUGACGGUAAUGGGUAAAGAAGCACCGGCUAACUACGUG